CUCAAUGAUAUUUAAUAGCCGCAAUAUUUAUUGUGCUAAGGUAGCAUAAUCAUUCGUUUUUUAAUUGAAAACUAGAAUGAAAGAUUUAACAUUUUAAUUUCUAUCAUAUAUAUAAUAUAUUAAACUUAUUUUAAAUAUAAAAAAAUAUUUAUUAUUAAAAAAGACGAUAAGACCCUAUUGAACUUAACUUAAGUUAAACUGGGGCAGUUAAUUAAAUACAAUUUUAAUUAAAAUUUUUAAAAAACCUAAUACAAUUAAAUUAAUCAAGUUACCUUAGGGAUAACAGCGUAAUAAUUUAUUCAAGAUCUUAUUUAAAAAAUUGAUUGCGACCUCGAUGUUGAAUUAAUAAUCUAUUAAAUGCAAUAAUUUAAAUAUGAAAGUCUGUUCGACUU
rnacentral:rRNA from 1 species